UGGUGGGUUGCCUUGUCAGGUUGAUUCCGGUAACGAACGAGACCUCAGCCUGCUAAAUAGUCAAGCGUACCUUUGGUAUGCGUCUGACUUCUUAGAGGGACUAUUGGCGUUUAGCCAAUGGAAGUGUGAGGCGAUAACA
rnacentral:rRNA from 1 species